GAAUGCUGACAUAAGUAACGAUAAAGCGGGUGAAAAGCCCGCUCGCCGGAAGACCAAGGGUUCCUGUCCAACGUUAAUCGGGGCAGGGUGAGUCGACCCCUAAGGCGAGGCCGAAAGGCGUAGUCGAUGGGAAACGGGUUAAUAUUCCCGUACUUGGUGUUACUGCGAAGGGGGGACGGAGAAGGCUAUGUUGGCCGGGCGACGGUUGUCCCGGUUUAAGCGUGUAGGUGUGUGUUCCAGGUAAAUCCGGUUCACUUUAACACUGAGGCGUGACGACGAGGCACUACGGUGCUGAAGCAACAAAUGCCCUGCUUCCAGGAAAAGCCUCUAAGCAUCAGGUAACAUCAAAUCGUACCCCAAACCGACACAGGUGGUCAGGUAGAGAAUACCAAGGCGCUUGAGAGAACUCGGGUGAAGGAACUAGGCAAAAUGGUGCCGUAACUUCGGGAGAAGGCACGCUGACACGUAGGUGAAGUGAUUUACUCAUGGAGCUGAAGUCAGUCGAAGAUACCAGCUGGCUGCAACUGUUUAUUAAAAACACAGCACUGUGCAAACACGAAAGUGGACGUAUACGGUGUGACGCCUGCCCGGUGCCGGAAGGUUAAUUGAUGGGGUCAGCGCAAGCGAAGCUCCUGAUCGAAGCCCCGGUAAACGGCGGCCGUAACUAUAACGGUCCUAAGGUAGCGAAAUUCCUUGUCGGGUAAGUUCCGACCUGCACGAAUGGCGUAAUGAUGGCCAGGCUGUCUCCACCCGAGACUCAGUGAAAUUGAACUCGCUGUGAAGAUGCAGUGUACCCGCGGCAAGACGGAAAGACCCCGUGAACCUUUACUAUAGCUUGACACUGAACAUUGAGCCUUGAUGUGUAGGAUAGGUGGGAGGCUUUGAAGCGUGGACGCCAGUCUGCGUGGAGCCGACCUUGAAAUACCACCCUUUAAUGUUUGAUGUUCUAACGUGGACCCGUGAUCCGGGUUGCGGACAGUGUCUGGUGGGUAGUUUGACUGGGGCGGUCUCCUCCUAAAGAGUAACGGAGGAGCACGAAGGUUGGCUAAUCCUGGUCGGACAUCAGGAGGUUAGUGCAAUGGCAUAAGCCAGCUUGACUGCGAGCGUGACGGCGCGAGCAGGUGCGAAAGCAGGUCAUAGUGAUCCGGUGGUUCUGAAUGGAAGGGCCAUCGCUCAACGGAUAAAAGGUACUCCGGGGAUAACAGGCUGAUACCGCCCAAGAGUUCAUAUCGACGGCGGUGUUUGGCACCUCGAUGUCGGCUCAUCACAUCCUGGGGCUGAAGUAGGUCCCAAGGGUAUGGCUGUUCGCCAUUUAAAGUGGUACGCGAGCUGGGUUUAGAACGUCGUGAGACAGUUCGGUCCCUAUCUGCCGUGGGCGCUGGAGAACUGAGGGGGGCUGCUCCUAGUACGAGAGGACCGGAGUGGACGCAUCACUGGUGUUCGGGUUGUCAUGCCAAUGGCACUGCCCGGUAGCUACAUGCGGAAGAGAUAAGUGCUGAAAGCAUCUAAGCACGAAACUUGCCCCGAGAUGAGUUCUCCCUGAGACUUUAGGUCUCCUGAAGGAACGUUGAAGACGACGACGUUGAUAGGCCGGGUGUGUAAGCGCAGCGAUGCGUUGAGCU
rnacentral:rRNA from 1 species